AGCGAACGCUGGCGGCAGGCUUAACACAUGCAAGUCGAACGGGCAUAGCAAUAUGUCAGUGGCAGACGGGUGAGUAACGCGUGGGAACGUACCUUUUGGUUCGGAACAACACAGGGAAACUUGUGCUAAUACCGGAUAAGCCCUUACGGGGAAAGAUUUAUCGCCGAAAGAUCGGCCCGCGUCUGAUUAGCUAGUUGGUAGGGUAAUGGCCUACCAAGGCGACGAUCAGUAGAUGGUCUGAGAGGAUGAUCAGACACAUUGGGACUGAGACACGGCACAAACUCCUACGGGAGGCAGCAGUGGGUAAUAUUGGAAAAUGGGCGAAAGCCUGAUCCAGCCAUGCCGCGUGAGUGAUGAAGGCCCUAGGGUUGUAAAGCUCUUUUGUGCGGGAAGAUAAUGACGGUACCGAAAGAAUAAGCCCCGGCUAACUUCGUG
rnacentral:rRNA from 1 species